AUCUACUCUGCUGGAGAUUUGUAAGUGAGCCCAGGACAUGGACUGAAAGCCAAAUUAUUUCUCUUAAACAUGGAUGUUCCCAGAAGAAAUACAGGAAUGGUAUGACAGCAUCCAGAAAAUGCAAAAAGAGAAACUCAACUAGUAGACUUCUGACUAGUAGAACUUCUGGCCAAAAUCAACUCAGCGGGUGAAUUUAACACUCCUCUGUGGCAGAAUGUAGCAAACUGUAAAAGCCUUGACUCCAAAGCAAAGGAGGGCCUAUAGCUGAUGAUGCUGGUAAAGAUACCAGGCAGGGCCAUCCAGAGCCCUCUGAGAAGAACUGUGGCCUCCAGUGAUCCCCAGAGAGGCAUCAAGCUGACCUUCAGGGCACUGACCCAACACAACACUUGGUUCCUGAAAUCCACUCAGUGAGACAACCAAAGACAGCCACAGACAUCCAGACAAAUGCAGACAACACAAGCUAACUUGAGCAGUCAUUCAGAAAAUGAAAGGCUCAUCAUGUAUCUAAUGUGAUGCUUCAUAUUUGAGUAAGGAAGACCUCCUCCACCUCCUCACUUUAAAAUAAAAGUAUUUUCAGGAUUGGAUCAGGCUACAAGUUUCAGGAAAUUAUUGCCUCCAGCUGCAAGUAAUCAUCUUCCCAGCCUAUACCAGUAACUACGUGCACUCUUACAUCUCCGUUGCUCUGGCAAGUAAAGCAGGCUUUUGCAAAGCACUUUAAAAUGCUGACAGGUACUUAAAAUAGGAAUGUGGAUUAAAUGAACCAGUAUUAUUUGUACUAAAGUAGACUGUAAGAGUGCACAGUGCACACAGCCAGUUAUUAGGUUGCAGCUGAGAGAUUCUUACAUCACACUAACAUAAUUGCUUCUGAUCACCUGGCUAAAUCUCAAGACUGGCUAAGGAAACCAGUUCACCUCAAUUCAGGCUUUAAAAUAGAUUCUGCUUUGAGACUGAAGUGAGACUUUUUGAGUGGAAAUCUAAUGUGUAAGAACUACCAACAGUCUUCACAACUUUCCUUUUUUGUAAUUUCCUCAACAGAAUACUUUG